AAAGUCGUAACAAGGUUUCCGUAGGUGAACCUGCGGAAGGAUCAUUAACACGUUCCACGUAUCAAACCCGCGCACUCGUUUUCACUCUGAUUAAGCUCCAGUUUAGUACCUGUAAACCUCGCAUUUCAGUCCGCAUAGAUAAGGAAACAGGCUGUAUAAGCCUGGCGGCUGGCGAUUGGAUUAUGUCCUCAUUCGAAAGAAUGAGGGAGGCGCUGGAUGUCUGGUCAUGUUUCUAUUCCUUAUCGCUUUUUCACAAUCAUUUACCCCAUUCCGAAACGUACUAAUUUAUAUUUCUUUCUUAAGAAAUUGGAACAUUUGACUGCUUUACCGCAGUUGGUUGCUUCUGAAACACUAAGAAAAACCUUAAGAACAACUCUUAACAACGGAUAUCUUGGCUCUC
rnacentral:misc_RNA from 1 species